rnacentral:rRNA from 1 species
UGGGGAAUAUUGGGCAAUGGAGGAAACUCUGACCCAGCGACGCCGCGUGCGGGAUGAAGGCCUUCGGGUUGUAAAGCUCUUUUACCCGGGAUGAUAAUGACAGUACCGGGAGAAUAAGCUCCGGCUAACUCCGUGCCAGCAGCCGCGGUAAUACAUAGGGUGCAAGCGUUGUCCGGAAUUAUUGGGCGUAAAGAGCUCGUAGGUGGUUCGUCACGUCGGAUGUGAAAAUCUGGGGCUUAACCCCAGACCUGCAUUCGAUACGGGCGAGCUAGAGUGUGGUAGGGGAGACUGGAAUUCCUGGUGUAGCGGUGGAAUGCGCAGAUAUCAGGAGGAACACCAAUGGCGAAGGCAGGUCUCUGGGCCAUUACUGACACUGAGGAGCGAAAGCGUGGGGCGCGAACAGG